AGUGAACGCUGGCGGUGGGCCUAACACAUGCAAGUCGAACGGCAGCACAGUAAGAGCUUGCUCUUACGGGUGGCGAGUGGCGGACGGGUGAGGAAUACAUCGGAAUCUACUUUUUCGUGGGGGACAACGUAGGGAAACUUACGCUAAUACCGCAUACGACAUACGGGUGAAAGCAGGGGAUCUUCGGACCUUGCGCGAUUGAAUGAGCCGAUGUCGGAUUAGCUAGUUGGCGGGGUAAAGGCCCACCAAGGCGACGAUCCGUAGCUGGUCUGAGAGGAUGAUCAGCCACACUGGAACUGAGACACGGUCCAGACUCCUACGGGAGGCAGCAGUGGGGAAUAUUGGACAAUGGGCGCAAGCCUGAUCCAGCCAUACCGCGUGGGUGAAGAAGGCCUUCGGGUUGUAAAGCCCUUUUGUUGGGAAAGAAAGGCAGCAGGUUAAUACCCCGCUGUUCUGACGGUACCCAAAGAAUAAGCACCGGCUAACUUCGUG
rnacentral:rRNA from 1 species